rnacentral:rRNA from 1 species
AUUGAGCGCUGGCGGCAUGCCUUACACAUGCAAGUCGAACGGCAGCACGGGAGCAAUCCUGGUGGCGAGUGGCGAACGGGUGAGUAAAGUAUCGGAACGUGCCCAGUCGUGGGGGAUAACGUAGCGAAAGUUACGCUAAUACCGCAUACGAUCUAUGGAUGAAAGCGGGGGAUCGCAAGACCUCGCGCGAUUGGAGCGGCCGAUAUCAGAUUAGGUAGUUGGUGGGGUAAAGGCUCACCAAGCCGACGAUCUGUAGCUGGUCUGAGAGGACGACCAGCCACACUGGGACUGAGACACGGCCCAGACUCCUACGGGAGGCAGCAGUGGGGAAUUUUGGACAAUGGGCGAAAGCCCGAUCCAGCCAUGCCGCGUGCAGGAUGAAGGCCUUCGGGUUGUAAACUGCUUUUGUACGGAACGAAAAGGUUUGGCCUAAUAAGCUGAGCUCAUGACGGUACCGUAAGAAUAAGCACCGGCUAACUACGUGCCAGCAGCAGCCGCCG